CACAGCAGUAGAUAAGGAGCAUAAACAGAAUACAUUGGACCUCCUCAGACCGCCGUCCACGUUACACUCUCAGCUGACACCACUCUGACACCCCACUACCUGAGGAGCAUAUCAACAGAACCCUCAGAACCUCAGUCUGCGUCUGGGGGGAGAGCCAUGAAGCGCAGAGCCCUGAUUGGUCUGUUCGGACACGAGAACCCGGCCAUGGAGCUGGAGCUGACCAAUGAGGUCAGACACCAGUCAGAGAGGCCUGGUGGGGGGGGGUCCCCAGGGCCCCAGUGCCCUGGUGGUUCCAGGGGGUCCGGGCCGGACACAGCAGCCAGCCAGUGGGCCAGUUACAACUGUAGCCGCCGGCCACAGACAGCCAAUCAGAGGACUGCAAAACAAAGCACAGGCACGGCAGCAGACAGUAAAUACCGAGGCCUGGUGGAGGAUGAGGAUGAGGAUGAAGAUGGCUAUGACCUCACAGAUGCAGGCGGUAAAAGACAGGUGCCCAAAAGAAAGCUCCUGGACUAUUUCAGAAGCCUCGCAGCGAGCAACCAAGACACCGACCAGGUGA
ensembl:lncRNA